UGCUUGGUGUUGGACGGUCUGGUUGCGUCACCGCGACCCCUUCUAAAGACAAUGACGGCGGCCUGUGGUUCCCCCGGUACACUGAGCUUUUUACUAGGCACGUAUCGGACGAGGGCACCCGGGAGCCGGUCUCCUCCCUUGAAUGGGAAACUUUUUCAAUGGUUGACCUCGGAUCAGGUAGGAAUACGCGCUGAACUUAA
rnacentral:misc_RNA from 1 species